GAUUAAUUCACUCUAAGCAAAACUAUUAUGGGAAGAUCUCAACUGAAAAAUAACUCUUGAUUCUUGAAGGCUGUGGAAAAAGGGUGCCAUGAUGUAGCAAGUUCUAUAAAGCUCUACAACUGGAAGUGCAAAGCCUAAUUUCUUUUCAUCUGAAAACUCUUUCCAACUGUUCCACAUCUGGGAUGAAGUUGCCCAUAAGUGGACACACACUCUCUCAGGGUGGUCUAACUUGUCACGGAUGUUGUGUGAUGCUCUUCCCUCAUUUACCACAUACCUGUAUAUUUUGGAAACACUGCGUUUGAAGAAAUCCAUGCACACGAAUUCAUUGGAGCUUCAGGAGUGGGAUAAUGGGAUGCCAAGUUCACCAAUAUAUUCUAAUUCCUUUUUCACUACCUAUUUGAAAGCAACACACUUUGAUACUUUUUAUGAUGACUGCUUUGCUCUUUUGAAAAUGAAAUAAAUUUUAUG